CUAUACCGACACUGUAGCGAUUUAACAUAGUGGAAUUUGAACCCACCGCUGUUUUAUGUUAAACAAGGACGUCAAGUGGCGGUUAUAGUAGUUAGAUAGCGUAGCAGAAUUUGAACAAAUCACCUUUAAUCCACAAUACACUUUUUAGAACAAAUCACUUUUGAUCCGUAAUACACUUUUUAGUACAAAAUGUACUUGAAUAGAGAAUAGAGGCUAUACGGACACUAUAGCAAUUUAACAAAGUGGAAUUUGAACCCACCGCAGUUUUAUGUUAAACAAGGACGUCAAGUAGCGGUUAUAGUAGUUAGAUAGCGUAGCAAAAUUUGAACAAAUCACUUAUGAUCUUCAAUGCAUCACUUAGUACAAAAUGCAGUUGAAAUAGAGGCUAUAUCGACACUAUAGCAAUGUAACAUAGCGGAAUUUAAACCCACCACUAUUUUAUGUUAUCUGUGCAGGCUG
rnacentral:lncRNA from 1 species